rnacentral:miRNA from 1 species
UGGAAGACCAUUGAUUUUGUUGUU